rnacentral:rRNA from 1 species
GACGAACGCUGGCGGCGUGCUUAACACAUGCAAGUCGAACGGAAAGGCCCUGCUUUUGUGGGGUGCUCGAGUGGCGAACGGGUGAGUAACACGUGAGUAACCUGCCCUUGACUUUGGGAUAACUUCAGGAAACUGGGGCUAAUACCGGAUAGGGGCUCCUGCUGCAUGGUGGGGGUUGGAAAGUUUCGGCGGUUGGGGAUGGACUCGCGGCUUAUCAGCUUGUUGGUGGGGUAGUGGCUUACCAAGGCUUUGACGGGUAGCUGGCCUGAGAGGGUGACCGGCCACAUUGGGACUGAGAUACGGCCCAGACUCCUACGGGAGGCAGCAGUGGGGAAUAUUGCACAAUGGGCGGAAGCCUGAUGCAGCAACGCCGCGUGCGGGAUGACGGCCUUCGGGUUGUAAACCGCUUUCGCCUGUGACGAAGCGUGAGUGACGGUAAUGGGUAAAGAAGCACCGGCUAACUACGUG